UACGUAGGGUGCAAGCGUUAAUCGGAAUUACUGGGCGUAAAGCGUGCGCAGGCGGUUAUGUAAGACAGGUGUGAAAUCCCCGGGCUUAACCUGGGAACUGCAUUUGUGACUGCAUAGCUAGAGUACGGUAGAGGGGGAUGGAAUUCCGCGUGUAGCAGUGAAAUGCGUAGAUAUGCGGAGGAACACCGAUGGCGAAGGCAAUCCCCUGGACCUGUACUGACGCUCAUGCACGAAAGCGUGGGGGAGCAAACAGG
rnacentral:rRNA from 1 species